CAGAAACGAGACAGUUAGAAGGUUGAGCACACUUCACUCCCCCCCUUCAAAACAACACCGUUUCCCUCGUUCCUAGAACGGAGCAUUUCCAAGCAGUGUUGCCAGUCCAAAGGGCACAUCCAGAAUGGGCAAGUUGUUAUCACUGAUUGGUGUUGUGGCACUCGUGGCACUGGCUGUCGCUGCCUACAUCUGGUGGAGAAGGAGACGGCAAGCACCCAGAGCCGUGGUUGUCACGCAGACGAUAUAGCGAUGUUUUUUUUUAAUGUUUUUAAAUUAUUUUUUUUAAUGGAUGGGUAAUGGAUAUUUCCCAGUAAGAAAUAUGUAGGUUUAUUUAUUUAUUUAUUUUUUUUUUUUACAUAGGCAGCGUUAUCAUUGUUAUUAU